rnacentral:rRNA from 1 species
GAUGAACGCUGGCGGCGGGCCUAAUACAUGCAAGUCGAGCGAACAGAGGAAGAAGCUGCCUCCUUGACGUUAGCGGCGCACGGGUGAGUGACAUGUGGAUAACACAGCUUGAAGGCGGGGGAAACCUCGGGAAACCGGUGCCAAUAACGGAUAAUAGACUCAAGCGCAAGGAGGAGUAGUGAAAGGCGGCUUGGCUGUGACUGAGAGCAGGUGCCGCGCCGCAUUAGCUAGUGGGUAAGGUAACGGCUUACCAAGGCGACGAUGCGUAGCAGAUCUGAGAGGGUGACCAGCCACACUGGAACUGAGACACGGUCCAGACUCCUACGGGAGGCAGCAGUGGGGAAUCUUCCGCAAUGGGCGAAAGCCUGAUGCAGCCAUGCCGCGUGUGUGAUGAAGGCCUUCGGAUCGUAAAGCUCUGUUAUUGGGGAAGAACGAAUGUGUGUGAAUCUCUGCGCGUAUUGACGGUACCUGAACAGAAAGCCCCGGCUAACUACGUG